UGUGUUUAUCAUGGAGUUCACUUCUAAUGUAGUCCUUGGUGUUAAUUAUAAUACAAUGCUAAUAAUUUUUAAGUACUUGGGAUUUUCAGUUUGGCCUUUUCAGUAGCAGUAAUGAUGAAUGCUUUCACUGACCUACAUUGUUGAUCAGGCUUGUAAGGCUUCCAAUGAGUUAGACUUCAGCAGGAAAAUGCAAGGCUUAUCACUUGAUACUGGUCUAAUAAACAACGAUUUUACUUCUCUCACUUUCAAAUGUUUUCCUAUAAUCCAGGUUAGUGGCACCACUAUCUAACAUGAUGAGGGUAUUGGGCACAGAAACACAGAUGACAUAGAGAUGAAAGACUAAUGUCAUGAAUUUCACUAAUCUACCCAGCUCCUCAGUUCUCAAAAAGAAAACAUACAGGUGGCAUAGUAUAACUUUAGUUAUAAAAGCACCCACUUGAUAUACUCUUUUUUCUUCUUGGGGUGUCUUUGAGAGCAUGUAUUACAAUUCUCUGUUGUCACAUAAUGAGCUGAGGUGUGCAGAUGACACAGACUAACUAGCAUCCAGGAGAAGAGCAGACAGGGAGGUAGGGGGUGGGUGGCAUAUAAGAGCACUUGGGGUCGCACAGAUAUGCGGGGCAAUUUAAUCUCACUGAAGCCUUAGUUUCUUCAACUGCAAACUAAGGAUUAUAACAUCUAUCUUGAGGCACUGUUGUGAGAAUUAAUGGACAGAGUUUUAUGCAAAGCCAGCACAUGCUAAAUAUAACUUUCUUCUUUACCUUCCUAACUACUUUUUUCUAAGAUUUUUAUACAUUUCCACUAUUAAAGUACUGAUGACCUCUGUGGUUAUGUGAGCUAAGGUGAUAACAAAAUGAAAUGGAUGGAAA